rnacentral:rRNA from 1 species
UACGAAGGGGGCUAGCGUUGCUCGGAAUCACUGGGCGUAAAGGGUGCGUAGGCGGAUCUUUAAGUCAGGGGUGAAAUCCUGGAGCUCAACUCCAGAACUGCCUUUGAUACUGAGAAGCUUGAGUCCGGGAGAGGUGAGUGGAACUGCGAGUGUAGAGGUGAAAUUCGUAGAUAUUCGCAAGAACACCAGUGGCGAAGGCGGCUCACUGGCCCGGUACUGACGCUGAGGUGCGAAAGCGUGGGGAG